GGAAAAAUUUGUCGAAAUCCGAUUCUUCCUCUUUUAACCACCUCUACAACCCUUAUCUGACCCCUCUAGACUACAUCCACCCUUUGUAUAGCCUAAUAUCAUCAAAAGACUAGAUAGAAAUGGAUAUUUACCUUUUUCUUUUUAGAAAUCGAGGUCCUUGCGUAGAGGGGAAGGAGAUCUACGUUUUUUCCUUCAGCUGGCAACGCAACCGGGAUCUCCUUCCUUUUCUUUUUCUUCUUCUUCU
rnacentral:lncRNA from 1 species